rnacentral:rRNA from 1 species
AGGGAUCAUUACUGAGUGAGGGUUUCGGCCCGACCUCCAACCCCUAUGUAUUCCGACUCUGUUGCCUCGGGGGCGACCCUGCCUUCGGGCGUUGGGGCCCCCGGUGGACACCAUAACUCUGCAUCUUUGCGUCUGAGUAACAUUUUGAAUUAAAUCAAAACUUUCAACAACGGAUCUCUUGGUUCUGGCAUCGAUGAAGGACGCAGCGAAAUGCGAUAAGUAAUGUGAAUUGCAGAAUUCAGUGAAUCAUCGAAUCUUUGAACGUACAUUGCGCCCCUUGGUAUUCCGAGGGGCAUGCCUGUUCGAGCGUCAUUACACCACUCAAGCCUCGCUUGGUAUUGGGCGCCGCGCUUCGGCGCGCGCCUCAAUGUAUCCGGCUGAGCCGUCCGUCUCUAAGCGUUGUGGCACUAUGUUUCCGCUUCGGAGGUCGGGAGGUCUCGCGCCGUUAAACACCCCAUCAAAGGUUGACCUCGGAUCAGGUAGGGAUACCCGCUGAACUUAA